AACCAGCACCCCAGUUCCUGUUCAGCUGCUGCUCUUUCUGUAAGGCCUUUGCAAGCCUCACUGCCCCUUCUGGUUCACCAGCGGUGAACGAGAGUUCCUGUUGCUCCACAUCCUCAUCAGCACUUGGUGUUGUCAGUGUUCAGGAUUUUGGCCAUUCUGAUAGAUGAAGAAAUUGAAGGUCAGAGGGACAGGGAAUUCCUGAAGUCAUGCAGAAAAUCAGACCCAUCAGGACUAGGAUUAGAGCGAGGUGAGUGAGGCAGCUGCAUGACCCUGAGUGACCCCUCCUGAAAUUUUGCACCCUAGGUAACUCAUUUGCUUCACCCUAGUCUCAGU